GCUUUGAAAAACUGGUUUUCGUACGAUCACCGAAGCUAAGCAAUUCCAGCUUGGUCAGUACUUAGACGGGUGACCACUUGGGAAUACCAGGUGCUGUAAG